rnacentral:rRNA from 1 species
AACGAACGCUGGCGGCAUGCCUAACACAUGCAAGUCGAACGAGAUGCCUUCGGGUAUCUAGUGGCGCACGGGUGCGUAACGCGUGGGAAUCUGCCCUGGGGUCUGGGAUAACCGUUGGAAACGACGGCUAAUACCGGAUGAUGAUGAAAAUCCAAAGAUUUAUCGCCCUGGGAUGAGCCCGCGUCGGAUUAGCUUGUUGGUGGGGUAAAGGCCUACCAAGGCGACGAUCCGUAGCUGGUCUGAGAGGAUGAUCAGCCACACUGGGACUGAGACACGGCCCAGACUCCUACGGGAGGCAGCAGUGGGGAAUAUUGGACAAUGGGCGCAAGCCUGAUCCAGCAAUGCCGCGUGAGUGAUGAAGGCCUUAGGGUUGUAAAGCUCUUUUACCCGGGAUGAUAAUGACAGUACCGGGAGAAUAAGCCCCGGCUAACUCCGUGCCAGCAGCCGCCGUAA